rnacentral:rRNA from 1 species
AGCUCCAAGAGCGUAUAUUAAAGUUGUUGCAGUUAAAAAGCUCGUAGUUGGAUUUCUGGUACAACGCGCCUGGCCCGCAUUUGUGAGUGCCGGCGCGCGUUUGCCAUCCUUCUAGAAAACGUUUCUACCUGGGCAACUGGGCCGGACUCGCGAUCUAGAUCUUUUACUUUGAAAAAAUUAGAGUGUUUAAAGCAGGCUUUUGCUGUGAAUACAUUAGCAUGGAAUAAUAAUCUAGGACUUCGGUUCUAUUUUGUUGGUUUCUAUUACUGAAGUAAUGAUUGAUAGGGAUAGUUGGGGGUGCUAGUAUUGGCCGGCCAGAGGUGAAAUUCUUGGAUUCGGUCAAGACUAACUUAUGCGAAAGCAUUCACCAAGGAUGUCUUCUUUA